AUUGAACGCUGGCGGCAGGCCUAACACAUGCAAGUCGAACGGUAACAGGAAGAAGCUUGCUUCUUUGCUGACGAGUGGCGGACGGGUGAGUAAUGUCUGGGAAACUGCCUGAUGGAGGGGGAUAACUACUGGAAACGGUAGCUAAUACCGCAUAACGUCGCAAGACCAAAGAGGGGGACCUUCGGGCCUCUUGCCAUCGGAUGUGCCCAGAUGGGAUUAGCUAGUAGGUGGGGUAACGGCUCACCUAGGCGACGAUCCCUAGCUGGUCUGAGAGGAUGACCAGCCACACUGGAACUGAGACACGGUCCAGACUCCUACGGGAGGCAGCAGUGGGGAAUAUUGCACCAUGGGCGCAAGCCUGAUGCAGCCAUGCCGCGUGUAUGAAGAAGGCCUUCGGGUUGUAAAGUACUUUCAGCGGGGAGGAAGGGAGUAAAGUUAAUACCUUUACUCAUUGACGUUACCCGCAGAAGAAGCACCGGCUAACUCCGUG
rnacentral:rRNA from 1 species